ACUUGUGCUCUUCAGAUCUCAGCUUCCAUUCUAUUUUAGAUUAAAUUCUCAACUGAUCUUGCUUUCUAUCCUGUUUGUGGUCAAAUAAUAGAAUGAACACCCAUUCCAAAGCUUUAUUACCAGUG